rnacentral:rRNA from 1 species
UACGUAGGUGGCGAGCGUUGUCCGGAUUUACUGGGCGUAAAGAGCGCGCAGGCGGUCGUUCAAGUCGCGUGUGAAAGCCCCCGGCUCAACCGGGGAGGGUCACGCGAUACUGAUCGACUCGAAGGCAGGAGAGGGAAGUGGAAUUCCCGGUGUAGUGGUGAAAUGCGUAGAUAUCGGGAGGAACACCAGUGGCGAAGGCGACUUCCUGGCCUGUUCUUGACGCUGAGGCGCGAAAGCUAGGGGAGCAAACGGGG